GACGAACGCUGGCGGCGUGCUUAACACAUGCAAGUCGAACGGAAAGGCCUGCUUUCCCUUGUGGAUUGCGGGUACUCGAGUGGCGAACGGGUGAGUAACACGUGAGUGAUCUGCCCCCAACUUGGGUAUAAGCCUGGGAAACUGGGUCUAAUUCCCGAUAGGACUGCAGGGUGGUGCCUGUGGUGGAAAACGAUUUUCUAGUGGUUGGGGAUGAGCUCGCGGCCUAUCAGCUUGUUGGUGGGGUAAUGGCCUACCAAGGCGGCGACGGGUAGCCGGCCUGAGUGGGUGGACGGCCACAUUGGGACUGAGAUACGGCCCAGACUCCGUCGGGAGGCAGCAGUGGGGAAUAUUGCACAAUGGGCGGAAGCCUGAUGCAGCGACGCCGCGUGGGGGAUGACGGCCUUCGGGUUGUAAACUCCUUUCGACCGCGAGGAAGCCACCUGGUUGGAAGGGUGGUGACGGUAGUGGUAGAAGAAGCACCGGCUAACUACGUG
rnacentral:rRNA from 1 species